CUCGAAAAUGUUAAAGUUCUUAUUUCAUGGUAUAACUUUGGUAUGCUUGGACCUAGAGUCUUCAAACUUGACAUGAAGGUUGGCCAGGAUUAACAGAUGACCACUGGUCAUUUCAAGGUCAUUCAUUUGAAGGUCAAGGUCACUGUGACCUUCAAUAUAAAAAAUGUUAAAGUUCUUAUAACUUUGGUAUGCUUGGACCUAGAGUCUUGAAACUUGACAUGAAGGUUGGCCAUAACUAGUUAGUAACCACUGGUCAUUUCAAGGUCAUUCAUUUGAAGGUCAAGGUCACUGUGACCUUGAAUGUAAAAAUGUUAAAGUUCUUAUUUCAUGGUAUAACUUUGGUAUGCUUGGACCUAGAGUCUUCAAACUUGACAUGAAGGUUGGCCAGGAUUAACAGAUGACCACUGGUCAUUUCAAGGUCAUUCAUUUGAAGGUCAAGGUCACUGUGACCUUCAAUAUAAAAAAUGUUAAAGUUCUUAUAACUUUGGUAUGCUUGGACCUAGAGUCUUGAAACUUGACAUGAAGGUUGGCCAUAACUAGUUAGUAACCACUGGUCAUUUCAAGGUCAUUCAUUUGAAGGUCAAGGUCACUGUGACCUUGAAUGUAAAAAUGUUAAAGUUCUUAUUUCAUGGUAUAACUUUGGUAUGCUUGGACCUAGAGUCUUCAAACUUGACAUGAAGGUUGGCCAGGAUUAACAGAUGACCACUGGUCAUUUCAAGGUCAUUCAUUUGAAGGUGAAGGUCACUGUGACCUUCAAUAUAAAAAUGUUAAAGUUGUUAUAACUUUGGUAUGCUUGGACCUAGAGUCUUGAAACUUGACAUGAAGGUUGGCCAGAACUAGUAAGUAACCACUGGACAUUUCAAGGUCAUUCAUUUGAAGGUCAAGGUCACUGUGACCUUGAAUGUAAAAAUGUUAAAGUUGUUAUAACUUUGGUAUGCUUGGACCUAGAGUCUUGAAACUUGACAUGAAGGUUGGCCAGAACUAGUAAGUAACCACUGGACAUUUCAAGGUCAUUCAUUUGAAGGUCAAGGUCACUGUGACCUUGAAUGUAAAAAUGUUAAAGUUCUUAUUCCAUGUUAUAACUUUGAUAUGCUUGUACCUAGAGUCUUCAAACUUGACAUAAAGGUUGGCCAGUACUAGAAGAUCACCACUGCUCAUUUCAAUGUCAUUCAUUUGAUUUCUGUGUAGGUAUGUGAAAGCAAAACAAUAAAUAGUAUUAUUUCAUCUAAGUUUAUUUUCUUACAUUUGAUAAUGAAAUUGAUGGAAACUUCAAACAAUAUCUUACUAAUUUGCUAAUAAAAAAAUUGAGAUCAAA